rnacentral:rRNA from 1 species
AGAAAAUAGAUACCCAGGUAGUCCACGCCCUAAACGAUGUCAACUAGUUGUCGGGUCUUAAUUGACUUGGUAAACGCAGCUAAACGCGUGAAGUUGACCGCCUGGGGAGUACGGUCGCAAGAUUAAAACUCAAAGGAAUUGACGGGGACCCGCACAAGCGGUGGAUGAUGUGGAUUAAUUCGAUGCAACGCGAAAAACCUUACCUACCCUUGACAUGUCAGGAAUCCUGCAGAGAUGUGGGAGUGCCCGAAAGGGAACCUGAGCACAGGUGCUGCAUGGCUGUCGUCAGCUCGUGUCGUGAGAUGUUGGGUUAAGUCCCGCAACGAGCGCAACCCUUGUCAUUAGUUGCUACGAAAGGGCACUCUAAUGAGACUGCCGGUGACAAACCGGAGGAAGGUGGGGAUGACGUCAAGUCCUCAUGGCCCUUAUGGGUAGGCUUCACACGUCAUACAAUGGUACAUACAGAGGGCUGCCAACCC